GAGGGUAUAGCUCAGUGGCAGAGUGUGUGUUUAACAUGCACCAGGGUCUUGGGUUCAAUCCCUAGUCCCUCCA
rnacentral:tRNA from 1 species